UACGUAGGGUGCGAGCGUUGCCCGGAAUUACUGGGCGUAAAGAGCUCGUAGGUGGUUUGUCGCGUUGUUCGUGAAAACCUGAGGCUUAACCUUGGGCGUGCGGGCGAUACGGGCAGACUGGAGUACUGCAGGGGAGACUGGAAUUCCUGGUGUAGCGGUGGAAUGCGCAGAUAUCAGGAGGAACACCGGUGGCGAAGGCGGGUCUCUGGGCAGUAACUGACGCUGAGGAGCGAAAGCGUGGGGAGCGAACAGG
rnacentral:rRNA from 1 species